rnacentral:tRNA from 1 species
CAGUAAGUAGUUUAAUGUAAAAUAUUAGUUUUGGAGACUAUUGAUGAGUUUAUUCUUCUUACUGA